rnacentral:rRNA from 1 species
AACGAACGCUGGCGGCAGGCUUAACACAUGCAAGUCGAACGCAUCCUUCGGGGUGAGUGGCAGACGGGUGAGUAACGCGUGGGAACGUGCCCUUCAGUUCGGGAUAACCCAGGGAAACUUGGGCUAAUACCGGAUACGUGCGAGAGCAGAAAGAUUUAUCGCUGAAGGAUCGGCCCGCGUCUGAUUAGCUAGUUGGUGGGGUAAUGGCCCACCAAGGCGACGAUCAGUAGCUGGUCUGAGAGGAUGAUCAGCCACAUUGGGACUGAGACACGGCCCAAACUCCUACGGGAGGCAGCAGUGGGGAAUAUUGGACAAUGGGCGCAAGCCUGAUCCGGACAUGCCGCGGGAGUGAUGAGGGCCUUAGGGUUGUAAAGCUCUUUCGUCCGGGACGAUAAUGACGGUACCGGAAGGGGAAGCCCCGGCUAACUUCGUGCCAGCCGCCGCAGUAACAC